UUGAACCUUCCGGAACCUGCAAGAAGUGGACCAGGUCUUGAAGCAAUUGUUCCAGUUGGCAAGUAAGGGUCAACAUGUAAACCGACAAUGGCCGAAACAUUUGCAAGGGCGCCCUCUUUUAGCAUAUGACAAGAUAUGCUCAAUCAAGAAGACAUUUAUCAUUUACCUUCAGUUUGUCUCUCCAGUGCUGAAGCAACUUAGCUGCUCCAAGAAGCAUGGUCACAUGGACAUCAUGGCCGCAGGCAUGCAUCUUCCCAUCGUUCUUGCUCUUAUACUCCCAGUCCACUAAUUCCUAUCAUAUGAUCAAUUAUGUAUGUCAAUCAAUUUUAUGUUAGCAAAUGAAAAUCAAAAUUACAGAAGUGAAACUACAGUAGUCAACUGUCAACACAUGUCUUUCCGAUCUAAUAUGACUUGAAACAUUUUGUAUUGUAAGUUGAGAAGUUUAUCCCGUUGACUUUUGUAAAGUGAGAGAAGUACUUGCAGUGGUAGAGCAUCCAUAUCUGCUCUGAGUGAAAACAAUGGGGUUAAACCAGACCCGACAGACCCCACUACGCCAGUUUUAGCGAUUGGCCAAGAUUGUAAUAGCCCAUGAUUGCUGUAACAUUAUUACCAGGAUUGUUGAUGAUAACCAUAAACACGGGCAACUUGGAAAGUAACCCGCCAUCAGAAAGGGGAGGAGUAUACCGGCGGCUGCAAGUCAGGCUUUUUUUCUUAUGAUAGAAAAUUGGGGAGAAAUUUAGCAUAAUAUUCCCGUCUUUCUUUCCCCCAGAAUCUGACACGUUUAUUUUCAUUUGAAGAGAGAGAAAUCAGAAUUCACCUGAGAAACCUUCCGAUCGAGAAUUGCAGAGAAUUUUUUUUUCAGAUCGAACCGAAAACAAAAUUCACAUUCAGAAUCAUCAAAGAAUCGAUCUAUCAUACUCAAAACAAACAUCAGAAGAAGAAAAUAAAGAUCGGAGAAGAAAGAGCAACCGCAGAUUCAGUUUCAAACUAGAUCGGGGAGGAAGAACAAUUGCGGAUUCAGUUUCGAACUAUUAUUUAUCUACGAUGAUGAAAGGAAGAAAGAGGAAA